rnacentral:rRNA from 1 species
AUGCCGCUGUCUGACCUUUGCUUUGAGCGAGGGCAUGCCUUCGAGGACCGCAUCCGCUCCUCCAUGAAUCUGCCGAUCAACUUCACAGCAGAGCAUGGUCAGAGGGAAUUCUUUCUGGUGACAGAAUUUACCAGAUCAAAGAUUCAUCUCACAGGGGAAUCGGUAGGUACCAUUCUUCUUUCGUGCUUUGGUGGUCGAGCUUCUCUAUACAAGGUCCGCAAGCUGCGUGAGCAUCUUUUCAAGUUCUCUGUCUCUUCGAUCAAUGUGGGCUUUGCGAUCUAUAAUGGAGGGAAUGUUUCUUUGCCUGAAUUCAAUCUUGGUUUUCUCCUUUGGGGUUCCAAUGGUCCUAAAUUUCAUUCCCUUACUGAUCCUGAUCAAGACAAUGGGUGGACCUUAGUCUCGAGAUCAAGAAAUGUGAAUUCUUUUGCUGAUGCAAUUCGUGCACCAAGAUUCUUCAACCAAGCUUCAAUUCAACCUCAGAACCGUAGAUCUCGCCCCGCUCAAUCAAUGGUGGCAGUUACUACGGUCUUUGAUCGGCUUCAAUUUCCGGAAACGGGCAAUAAUGAGGCGGCAAAUCAGCGAAUUCAAACUGGCCCAGCAGUUGGCUCUAGUUUUUUGGCGGCCCAUUCUUCUGGCGAGGCCUGGCCCAACUUAUUAUGUGUCCGUUGUUUGCUAAAGGGCCAUGAGAGAUCGGGUUGCAAGAAUAAAAUCUGGUGUCAUAAUUGCAAAAGGUGGGGCCAUGUUGCCAGUGACUGCCGCUCGGGCUUCCGCUCCCUCGCUUUGUCAAAUCAAUUGACUACCUCAGUAUCUGCUACUGCCGCUGCAGCCCUCGUUAAUGGUGCGAUUCCAGUGCCUCAAUCGAGGAAUGCUAUCGAUCGCCCCGACAAUCAAGAUCCCAAUAUUAUUCCCCCACCUACGAAUUCCUCUGCUUCUGAGCCUCAUCUUGCUCGCUCCUCCCCUCUUCCACCUCCACCGCCGCUAACCAUCAGCAGGUUACUGCAAUCUUCAGAGCAGGAGGGAGAGCUAGUUCUGCGCGCCAUGGCCAACUUCCCGUUUGAUCCGACUCCGUUUCUUCCUUCGCAUCAUCAAGCAAUCCAAGUGGAGGGGCGACCUGCUAGAGUGAGGGUAAUUUCUGACCCUGCUCUGCCUCGGCAUGAAGAUUGGGCUAUAGCUACCAUUGUUCUUAUGCCCAACCAGCAAGUUCAUUUUCCUAAUGUGAGGCAGAUCCUUGGUGAGUUUCUUACUCAAGUCAAGCACCUAGGGUUUCAUGAGAUCUGCCAGUGCCCCUUUGGUCAAGCUUAUGUUAGAUUAAGAUCGCCUUUUGAUCGUGAUGCUCUGGUUCUGCAAAGCCCUCAUGUGCAUGGUGAUGUUCAUAUUAUAUUACAGAGGCAUAAUCAGGGCCUUAACUGGAGAAACCUUGAGCUGAAUAGAGAUAUUUGGGCUUUGUUGGUUGGCUUCCCAUUUGAUAAGAGGGAAAUGCAUGAACUAGCAAACUCUAUUAGAAGUUUUGGUAAGCUGCUGCUAUGGGACAGGGCUAGGAGCACUCAAGCAGCCCUGAUGGUUAAGAUUAGAGUUGAAAACAUGAGUGAUGUUCCUAUAAGUAUUGCUGUGGGUGAAUCUGAUGAUCCCAAUGCAGAAUCUUGGACCGUACCUGUUGCCAUUAUCCAGCAAGAGCCAUUGGGUGGAGGCUCACCUGAUGAAGAUCUAGUACCUGUUGAUGGCAAUCCUCAUCCUCAGCCUCAACACCAGGCUCAAGAUGUUAUGGGAGGUGAUCCUCAAAAUUUCCAUCACCAAGCUAUGCAGAAUGAUGCAGAGGAUGUAGAUCAAGAGGAGGAUGAUGAGGAGCUUCCUGGCUGGGGGCAUUGGGCAAUGCCAGCAGAAAAUGAUGAUCUCAUUGACCAGGAGCUGGAAGAGGGGGAAUUCAUGGAUCUUGCUGAUCUGUUUCAGCCUUUGGAUGAGCAGCACCAAAAUAAUCUUCCUGAUAUGGAUAUGAACAGUGAUUUAACACUCUCUGUGGGAUCCAAUGGGGUGGACAUUGACAUGCUUGAAGCCCAUGCACAGCCAAAUUUGGAGGGAAAUGAGAUUUUGAACUUAAUGGGCCAGGCCCAAGUUGGUAUUCCAGACCUCAAUUUGGCCCUUGGGCCCAUGCCAGCUUUGCCACAGGAAGCCUUUCAGCCACAUGCUCAGCCUGCUUUUGCUCAACCUGCCGUGGCUACUCCCCUGGACUUUAUAAACCUGCUGCCUUCUGUGGGAACAAAUGUCAGACUUGAUCUUGAUCUUAACCAAGUGUUACCUCAGUCAUCUCUUGUUGGUCUUAACAUCCAAGCCCAAGUUAUUUCUCCCAGGGUUGAAAAUGAGCUAACAGUUGACAUGAAUUUGGUGGAAGAGGAUGGAUCUCUUUUCUACCUGAAUCUUGCUGAGGGUGAAGAUCCUAUGAUUCAGCUAGCUUCUCCUUCUGAAAUCCUGGCUACUAUGAUCAGAGAAGAUGACCAGAGCUCCUAUGUUGAUGAGGAAAUUGAAAUCCUGGACUAUUCUUCAGAUGUUUCUUCCAAACCAGAUUCGACCUUAGAAAGUAUUAAUGUCACCUGCACCUCAUCCUCAACUUGUUCAGCACCCCCAAGUUUUAAUAUCAAAGGAAAGUAUUUAGCUAAUUAUGUCCCUGCUGGCUCUACUGCAAAUUCUGACAUACAUGAAAUGGCUUUUUACUCUGCUUGGGAGCAACAUUUUUCUGUCACCACAGAAGGCACCACAGCAGUCAAGGUACCCUUAGAUUGGAUGGAUUUCAUUUGCUCUACUUUAUUGACCCCUGAUAAAUUUGAUUGGGCAAAAGGGUUCUUGCAAUCCCCUAUGUGGCAUAUCAUCUGUGAAGAGUUUCAACAAUCUCAUCAUCUUGUAUUCUUCAUUACUUCUACUUGUCCUGUAACUAUGGCUCCUUCAUGCUCUCAGUUGCAGAAUCUUGGCUUGGAGGAAGUCCAACCUCCACCUGUGGCUGAAGAUGCUAGCUUCUGCAGUCCUGCUGCUGCCAAAGGAAAAAGAAAAGACAGAGUGCCACUAGUUGAAUCUGAGGUAAGAAGAAGUGAAAGAUUGCAGCAUUUAAAUAAGGGCUAUAGGAAGAAAUCUUGUCAUGAUAAUAACUGUAUGGCCUGCUCUGCUAAACCUCCUGUCUGCAACUCCAAAGUAAUUAAGAAUCUUAAUUCCUCUUACUGCAAGGUGGACCCAAAAGUCUUCACUGAAGAGAACCUCCUGCAAAAGAAGGUAGACACAACUUUCUGGAUUGGUUCAGAAACAUCCAGAUGCCUGUUGAAUCUGAUUGGAUCAUCACAGGAGAUUUCAAUUAUAUCAGAUAUCCCUCUAACAGGAAUGUUGGCACUGGCGUCGCUCCCAUCCUCUGGCCGCAGUUCCACGAGCUCCGUGCUCCGGCCGCCGCUACGGCCGAAUAGCUCCACGCUUCUGAGCUUCUCUGCUCAUUUGCAUUGCGCCGAUGAGCUCCUGGUGACCCCACCGGCCGCGGCCGCCCACACCCGUAGCCACGGCCCCCGAUCGCGCCCGCUCCGCCCAUCUCCACUGCCUGCAGCUCGCUCGUCGGCGGCGACCCGCGCCCACUCCGCAUGCCUCGGCCGUUCCUCUGCACGCGCUGCACCGCCCCCGGUCACACCCUACGCCUGCCUCGCCAUGCUCCGGCCCCACGCCUGCCUCGCCAUGCUCCGGCCCCACGCCUAG